rnacentral:rRNA from 1 species
GAAAACUACAAACGCAAGUUUAAAAAUCAAGAGACCUGGCGGCGUUUUAGGUACCCUAGAGGAGCCUGUCCUAUAACCGAUAAUCCCCGUUAAACCUUACCUUUUUUGCCUUAGUCUAUAUACCGCCGUCAUAGUUCACCCUUCCAAAGGCCUCAAUAGUGGGCAAAAAUGAUUAAACCCAGAACAUCAGGUCGAGGUACAGCCUACAAAAAGCGAAGAGAUGGGGUACAUUUCCUACAUAGGGCCCCCGGACAAUGCUUUGAAACAAGAAUAUUAAAGAAGGAUUUAGUAGUAAGUAAAAAAUAGAGAGUUUU